GUUCAGAUAUGGGGUUUGGGGGUUCAGAUAUGGGGUUUGGGGGCUCAGAUCUGGGUUUUGGGGUUCAGAUAUGGGGUCUUGGGGUUCAGAUCUGGGUUUUGGGGUUCAGAUAUGGGGUUUCUGGGAUCGGAUAUCGGUUUUGGGGUUCAGAUAUGGGGUUUGGGGGCUCAGAUAUGGGGUUUCUGGGAUCAGAUCUGGGUUUUGGGGUUCAGAUAUGGGGUUUCUGGGAUCAGAUCUGUGUUUUGGGGUUCAGAUAUGGGGUCUCUGGGAUCGGAUAUCGGUUUUGGGGUUCAGAUAUGGGGUCUCUGGGAUCGGAUAUCGGUUUUGGGGUUCAGAUAUGGGGUCUUGGGGUUCAGGUAUGGGUUUUGGGGUUCAGAUACGGGGCUCUAGGUUCAGAUCUGGGGUUUGGGGUUCAGAUAUGGGGUUUGGGGGCUCAGAUAUGGGGUUUCUGGGAUCAGAUCUGGGUUUUGGGGUUCAGACAUGGGGUCUUGGGGUUCAGGUAUGGGUUUUGGGGUUCAGAUACGGGGCUCUAGGUUCAGACCUGGGGUUUGGGGUUCAGAUAUGGGGUUUGGGGGCUCAGAUAUGGGGUCUCUGGGAUCAGAUAUCGGUUUUGGGGUUCAGAUAUGGGGUCUUGGGGUUCAGGUAUGGGUUUUGGGGUGCCCCCCCCCC
ensembl:lncRNA